GACGAACGCUGGCGGCGUGCUUAACACAUGCAAGUCGAACGGAAAGGCCCUGCUUGCAGGGUACUCGAGUGGCGAACGGGCGAGUAACACGUGGGUGAUCUGCCCUGCACUUCGGGAUAAGCCUGGGCAACUGGGUCCAAUACCGGAUAGGAGCCAUUUUUAGUGGGAUGGUUGGAAAGUUUUUUCGGUGUAGGAUGAGCUCGUGGCCUAUCAGCUUGUUGGUGGGGUAAUGGCCUACCAAGGCGGCGACGGGUAGCCGGCCUGAGAGGGUGGACGGCCACAUUGGGACUGAGAUACGGACCAGACUCCUACGGGAGGCAGCAGUGGGGAAUAUUGCACAAUGGGCGCAAGCCUGAUGCAGCGACGCCGCGUGGGGGAUGACGGCCUUCGGGUUGUAAACUCCUUUCGCUAGAGACGAAGCUUUUGUGACGGUACCUAGAGAAGAAGCACCGGCUAACUACGUG
rnacentral:rRNA from 1 species